AGCCGGAGAGCUUGCUCUCUGGUGGCGAGUGGCGAACGGGUGAGUAAUAUAUCGGAACGUGUCCAAUAAUGGGGGAUAACGAGUCGAAAGAUUCGCUAAUACCGCAUACGCCCUACGGGGGAAAGCAGGGGAUCGUAAGACCUUGCGUUAAUGGAGCGGCCGAUAUCUGAUUAGCUUGUUGGUGAGGUAAAGGCUCACCAAGGCGACGAUCAGUAGCUGGUUUGAGAGAACGACCAGCCACACUGGAACUGAGACACGGUCCAGACUCCUACGGGAGGCAGCAGUGGGGAAUUUUGGACAAUGGGGGCAACCCUGAUCCAGCCAUUCCGCGUGAGUGAAGAAGGCCUUCGGGUUGUAAAGCUCUUUCGCAAGGGAAGAAAACUUAUGAUCGAAUAAAUCAUGAGGUUGACGGUACCUUGAUAAGAAGCACCGGCUAACUACGUGCCAGCAGCCGCGGUAAUACGUAGGGUGCGAGCGUUAAUCGGAAUUACUGGGCGUAAAGCGUGCGCAGGCGGUUUUGUAAGUCGGAUGUGAAAUCCCCGGGCUCAACCUGGGAACUGCGUUCGAAACUGCAAGGCUAGAGUGUGUCAGAGGGGGGUAGAAUUCCACGUGUAGCAGUGAAAUGCGUAGAGAUGUGGAGGAAUACCAAUGGCGAAGGCAGCCCCCUGGGAUAACACUGACGCUCAUGCACGAAAGCGUGGGGAGCAAACAGGAUUAGAUACCCUGGUAGUCCACGCCCUAAACGAUGUCAACUAGUUGUUGGUAGAGUAAAAUCUAUGAGUAACGUAGCUAACGCGUGAA
rnacentral:rRNA from 1 species